AGAUAAUAGAUACCCGGGUGGUCCUAGCCCUAAACGGUGCGCGUUUGCUGUGAGAGGAAUCGACCCCUUUCGUGGCGAAAGCUAAACGCGAUAAACGCGCCGCCUGGGGAGUACGGUCGCAAGAUUAAAACUCAAAGAAAUUGACGGGGGCCUGCACAAGCGGUGGAGUAUGUGGCUUAAAUUCGAUGCAACGCGAAGAACCUUACCUGGCCUUGACAUGCAUGUGGUAGAACCAUGAAAGUGGGACGACCCCGCAAGGGGAGCAUGCACAGGUGCUGCAUGGCUGUCGUCAGCUCGUGUCGUGAGAUGUUGGGUUAAGUCCCGCAACGAGCGCAACCCUUGUGUCCUGUUGCCAUCCGGUCGAGAGACUGGAGCACUCUGGACAGACUGCCUCGCUCAAACGGGGAGGAAGGUGGGGAUGACGUCAAGUCAGUAUGGCCCUUACGGCCAGGGCUGCACACGUACUACAAUGCCCGGCACAGAGGGAAGCAAGACCGCAAGGUGGAGCAAAUCCCAGAAAACCGGGCCCA
rnacentral:rRNA from 1 species